rnacentral:tRNA from 1 species
UGGGGCUGUAGCUCAGUGGCAGAGCGCUCACCUAGCAUGUGCGAGGCCCUGGGUUUGAUCCUCAGCACCACAA